UAUAAUAUUUUGACUUUCGUCUUAUUUAAAAAUUUUUUGUGAUUAAUAUUUCUAUUCUAACUAGAUGAUAAAAUACAAAUAGUAUUUUACGCGUGACUAAUUUUUUUAAUUUUUUGUGCACAUUUUUUAAAUAAGACGAAUGAUCAAACAUUAGACACGAAAAAAC
rnacentral:pre_miRNA from 1 species